rnacentral:rRNA from 1 species
UUAAGUUAUUAAGGGCGCACGGUGGAUGCCUUGGCACUAGAAGCCGAUGAAGGACGUUACUAACGACGAUAUGCUUUGGGGAGCUGUAAGUAAGCUUUGAUCCAGAGAUUUCCGAAUGGGGAAACCCAGCAUGAGUUAUGUCAUGUUAUCGAUAUGUGAAUACAUAGCAUAUCAGAAGGCACACCCGGAGAACUGAAACAUCUUAGUACCCGGAGGAAGAGAAAGAAAAUUCGAUUCCCUUAGUAGCGGCGAGCGAAACGGGAAGAGCCCAAACCAAAAAGCUUGCUUGUUGGGGUUGUAGGACACUCUAUACGGAGUUACAAAGGACGACAUUAGACGAAUCAUCUGGAAAGAUGAAUCAAAGAAGGUAAUAAUCCUGUAGUCGAAAAUGUUGUCUCUCUUGAGUGGAUCCUGAGUAAGACGGAGCACGUGAAAUUCCGUCGGAAUCUGGGAGGACCAUCUCCUAAGGCUAAAUACUCUCUAGUGACCGAUAGUGAACCAGUACCGUGAGGGAAAGGUGAAAAGCACCCCGGAAGGAGAGUGAAAUAGAACCUGAAACCGUGUGCUUACAAGUAGUCAGAGCCCGUUAAUGGGUGAUGGCGUGCCUUUUGUAGAAUGAACCGGCGAGUUACGAUUUGAUGCAAGGUUAAGCAGUAAAUGUGGAGCCGUAGCGAAAGCGAGUCUGAAUAGGGCGUUUAGUAUUUGGUCGUAGACCCGAAACCAGGUGAUCUACCCUUGGUCAGGUUGAAGUUCAGGUAACACUGAAUGGAGGACCGAACCGACUUACGUUGAAAAGUGAGCGGAUGAACUGAGGGUAGCGGAGAAAUUCCAAUCGAACCUGGAGAUAGCUGGUUCUCUCCGAAAUAGCUUUAGGGCUAGCCUCAAGUGAUGAUUAUUGGAGGUAGAGCACUGUUUGGACGAGGGGCCCCUCUCGGGUUACCGAAUUCAGACAAACUCCGAAUGCCAAUUAAUUUAACUUGGGAGUCAGAACAUGGGUGAUAAGGUCCGUGUUCGAAAGGGAAACAGCCCAGACCACCAGCUAAGGUCCCAAAAUAUAUGUUAAGUGGAAAAGGAUGUGGCGUUGCCCAGACAACUAGGAUGUUGGCUUAGAAGCAGCCAUCAUUUAAAGAGUGCGUAAUAGCUCACUAGUCGAGUGACACUGCGCCGAAAAUGUACCGGGGCUAAACAUAUUACCGAAGCUGUGGAUUGUCCUUUGGACAAUGGUAGGAGAGCGUUCUAAGGGCGUUGAAGCAUGAUCGUAAGGACAUGUGGAGCGCUUAGAAGUGAGAAUGCCGGUGUGAGUAGCGAAAGACGGGUGAGAAUCCCGUCCACCGAUUGACUAAGGUUUCCAGAGGAAGGCUCGUCCGCUCUGGGUUAGUCGGGUCCUAAGCUGAGGCCGACAGGCGUAGGCGAUGGAUAACAGGUUGAUAUUCCUGUACCACCUAUAAUCGUUUUAAUCGAUGGGGGGACGCAGUAGGAUAGGCGAAGCGUGCGAUUGGAUUGCACGUCUAAGCAGUAAGGCUGAGUAUUAGGCAAAUCCGGUACUCGUUAAGGCUGAGCUGUGAUGGGGAGAAGACAUUGUGUCUUCGAGUCGUUGAUUUCACACUGCCGAGAAAAGCCUCUAGAUAGAAAAUAGGUGCCCGUACCGCAAACCGACACAGGUAGUCAAGAUGAGAAUUCUAAGGUGAGCGAGCGAACUCUCGUUAAGGAACUCGGCAAAAUGACCCCGUAACUUCGGGAGAAGGGGUGCUCUUUAGGGUUAACGCCCAGAAGAGCCGCAGUGAAUAGGCCCAAGCGACUGUUUAUCAAAAACACAGGUCUCUGCUAAACCGUAAGGUGAUGUAUAGGGGCUGACGCCUGCCCGGUGCUGGAAGGUUAAGAGGAGUGGUUAGCUUCUGCGAAGCUACGAAUCGAAGCCCCAGUAAACGGCGGCCGUAACUAUAACGGUCCUAAGGUAGCGAAAUUCCUUGUCGGGUAAGUUCCGACCCGCACGAAAGGCGUAACGAUUUGGGCACUGUCUCAACGAGAGACUCGGUGAAAUCAUAGUACCUGUGAAGAUGCAGGUUACCCGCGACAGGACGGAAAGACCCCGUGGAGCUUUACUGUAGCCUGAUAUUGAAAUUCGGCACAGCUUGUACAGGAUAGGUAGGAGCCUUUGAAACGUGAGCGCUAGCUUACGUGGAGGCGCUGGUGGGAUACUACCCUAGCUGUGUUGGCUUUCUAACCCGCACCACUUAUCGUGGUGGGAGACAGUGUCAGGCGGGCAGUUUGACUGGGGCGGUCGCCUCCUAAAAGGUAACGGAGGCGCUCAAAGGUUCCCUCAGAAUGGUUGGAAAUCAUUCAUAGAGUGUAAAGGCAUAAGGGAGCUUGACUGCGAGACCUACAAGUCGAGCAGGGUCGAAAGACGGACUUAGUGAUCCGGUGGUUCCGCAUGGAAGGGCCAUCGCUCAACGGAUAAAAGCUACCCCGGGGAUAACAGGCUUAUCUCCCCCAAGAGUUCACAUCGACGGGGAGGUUUGGCACCUCGAUGUCGGCUCAUCGCAUCCUGGGGCUGUAGUCGGUCCCAAGGGUUGGGCUGUUCGCCCAUUAAAGCGGUACGCGAGCUGGGUUCAGAACGUCGUGAGACAGUUCGGUCCCUAUCCGUCGUGGGCGUAGGAAAUUUGAGAGGAGCUGUCCUUAGUACGAGAGGACCGGGAUGGACAUACCUCUGGUGUACCAGUUGUCGUGCCAACGGCAUAGCUGGGUAGCUAUGUGUGGACGGGAUAAGUGCUGAAAGCAUCUAAGCAUGAAGCCCCCCUCAAGAUGAGAUUUCCCAACUUCGGUUAUAAGAUCCCUCAAAGAUGAUGAGGUUAAUAGGUUCGAGGUGGAAGCAUGGUGACAUGUGGAGCUGACGAAUACUAAUCGAUCGAAGACUUAAUCAA